CUACAAUGUUCAAUCCCAACUUUUUUGAGUCCUAGUACGCAAGGAAUGGUCUCAGCGAUGCUCGACUAUUGGCCCCAUCGACGUAAUCAACUUCUGGCUGCUGCAAAGAAGGAAAACAAAAGGUUAAGGGGAUUAAAGGUGCC
rnacentral:rRNA from 1 species